GACGAACGCUGGCGGCGUGCUUAACACAUGCAAGUCGUACGAUGACCCGGCUCUUCGGAGCUGGUGAUUAGUGGCGAACGGGUGAGUAACACGUGGGUGACCUGCCCUGCACUCUGGGAUAAGCCCGGGAAACUGGGUCUAAUACUGGAUACGACCAGUGGCCGCAUGGUCUGCUGGUGGAAAGCCCUUCGGGGUGGUGUGGGAUGGGCCCGCGGCCUAUCAGCUUGUUGGUGGGGUGAUGGCCUACCAAGGCGACGACGGGUAGCCGGCCUGAGAGGGUGUCCGGCCACACUGGGACUGAGACACGGCCCAGACUCCUACGGGAGGCAGCAGUGGGGAAUCUUGCACAAUGGGCGAAAGCCUGAUGCAGCGACGCCGCGUGAGGGAUGACGGCCUUCGGGUUGUAAACCUCUUUCGGCAGGGAACAAGCCUGGGGUUUUCUUCUGGGUGAGGGUACCUGCGGAAGAAGCACCGGCUAACUACGUG
rnacentral:rRNA from 1 species